GUGCCAGCAGCCGCGGUAAUACGUAGGGUGCGAGCGUUAAUCGGAAUUACUGGGCGUAAAGCGUGCGCAGGCGGUUAUGUAAGACAGAUGUGAAAUCCCCGGGCUCAACCUGGGAACUGCAUUUGUGACUGCAUGGCUAGAGUACGGUAGAGGGGGAUGGAAUUCCGCGUGUAGCAGUGAAAUGCGUAGAUAUGCGGAGGAACACCGAUGGCGAAGGCAAUCCCCUGGACCUGUACUGACGCUCAUGCACGAAAGCGUGGGGAGCAAACAGGAUUAGAUACCCCAGUAGUCC
rnacentral:rRNA from 1 species